AGGGCUGCACCCACAGCAUGUGGAAAUUCCCAGGCUAGGGGUUGAAUCGGAGCUGUAGCCACCAGCCUACACCACAGACACAGCAACUUGGGAUCCGAGCCAUGUCUGUGACCUAUACCUCAGCUCACAGCAACACCAGAUCCUUAACCCAAUGAGCGAAGCCAGGGAUCAAACCCGCAUCCUCAUGGAUACUAGUUGGAUUUGUUUCUGCUGAGCCAUAAUGGGAACUCCCUGUCCAGAACUAUUAUAAGUUUAUGUUUUAAUGUAUCAGUCCACUACAUAUUUUAUUAUUUGCGGCCAGGGAUAAGGAUAUGAUGUGUUCCCAAAAAAGUUUUAAAAUCACAAUUAUAAAUCUAAUUUAGAAGAGACCUAAAAGGCCAACUAAUUUAAUUACCCAUCUGAUCUAAUUGGAUCCAGCCAUGGAGCACUCACUACCUAAAGAGGCAGAACAUUUCAUGUUUGGGUUUCAAGAUUGUUUAAAAAGUCUCGCGAGCCUCUGAAACUUCAAAAUAUCAGUCCUCAUUUUACCUCUGAUGAAACAGUGCAAACAAUAAUCAUGUUUUCCCUUGGUCUUCUCUGUCUAGGCUAGGCAUCACCAGUUCCAUCAGAUAUUCACCAUGAGAUAGGGUUUAAUUCCUUUCAAAUUCUUCUUGCAUUUCUGGAAUCAAUUCCAGUUUGUCUGAAUCUCUUCCCAGGAGAUUCUGUAUCAAGAGGUGUAUCAUGCUACACCUGUGGCAUGUGGAAGUUCCCAGGCUAGGGAUCUAAUCAGAGCUGCAGCUGCUGGCCUAUGCUGUAGCCACAGCAAUGCAGGAUCUGAGUCAUGUCUGUGACCUACACCAGAGCUCACAGAAACUCUGGAUCCUUUACCUACUGAGCAGGGCCAGGGAUCAAACACAUGUCCUCACAGAUACUAGUCGGGUUCGUUACUGCUGAGGCACAAUAGGCACUCCCCAUUUUGCUCUUUUAUCAGUUACAAAUACAUGACCAAUUCAUAUUGAUGUUAUUGUUAUACAAAUCUAUAAAAAUAAUAUUUACUUCUUUCCCAAGCUGUUCUUUUACAGCUGUUUCUAAUUUUUCUUUUAAAUUAAAGAUCAGGCACUUUCAUUUCUAUUAAACUUAAUUUUGUUGGCUGUAGCCAUUGUCCCAAGAUAUUAGUAUCUUUUUAGAAUCGGAUUCUACUGUACAAUAUAUUUUCUAUUUCUUACAGCAUAUACUAUUUGAAAAUUUGAUAAUCAUGUACCUGAUAUUUUCAUCCAAGUAAACUGACAAAAGCUGUGAGCAGGACAGAGCCACAAAAACAGCCCUGACACUCUAUAGAAAGCUUUUUCCAAAUUAAUGGAGAUAUUUUAAUUCUACAUACUUAAGACUCAAUCAGCCAAACUCUGUUUCUCCAUUUUACCUGUAAAUUAUCACAGAAACUAACAAAUGCCUUGGUGGGGCUAUUUGAUAUUUCUGUGUUUUAUUUACUCCAGAAAUUUAAUGGAAAUUUAAAAUGCAUCGCUUCUCAGGAACAAGGUAAGUAUUUGUGAGAUAAGGUCAAUUGAUGUUUUAAGUUCCUUGGAGGAAAAACAGCUAUUAUUUAUGAUCAUUAAGAAUUACAAAAUAACAUACUUUGGAGAGUCCUAAUCCUUCUGUAAACCAUUAUCAUCUACUGGGAUAAAUAAGUAAAUAGGACAGGGAGUCUAAGCUACUACAACUCUGAAAUGCACACUGGGACCAACAGAUUUUGAACUGGAGGAGUGUGUGUGUGUGUGUGUGUGUGCGUGUGUGUGUGUGUGUGUGCGUGCGUGCGUGCGUGUGUGUGUGUAGAACAAGGAUAUUCCAUUUUCUUGAAAGAAAAAGAAAGAAAGAAAGAAAGAAAGAAAGAAAGAAAGAAAGAAAGAAAGAAGCUCAAGUGAAUCGUCUAGUUAUAAAGAAUGGAAAGCAGGCCUUAUAGCAGAGAGCCCUACAGACCCUUUAACUACUGGAGUGUGCUCUAGAUUUGAAGGUCGAAGUUAUUAUGUAUUUUUCCUGGUCCACUUAACUGCAUCAUCUAAACUUGAUAAAAAUGACCUGACAAUGGAAGUCAUUUUCUUGAAAAUAUUAGGAAAUGCUGGAAAGCAACUGAGAAUAGUAGGAAGGCAAGUACUUAAUGGGCUGGACUAUCAAAGACCAUUCGUUUGUUGGGGGUGGGGGUAGAGCUCUGCUGUACAGAAUCUGAAUCAAUUACAAACAAACUCCCGCCUUCCAGGUCCAGAAGCCCAGAAACCCCUUCACACCAGACUAAGGAUGCCAGGGAAAAUCAAUAAGCUAUUGAAUUGGGUUCUCUGGGGGAGAACACAGUGUAUUUUGUAAUUUCAAAACAGCUCUUUUAUUAGAGAGCUGAAGAGGGUAUAGCAGAUAUUACAUUUCUAUGAAAUAUAAGCCAGGCAACAUUCAGAUCUGUUUUAAAAUUAAUAGAGCUUCAAUCUUUUUUAUUUUGCCAAUAGAUUGAGUUGUGAUGCCUGCUAACUCUGUCUUCAUUCUGAUUUAGUAAGCAUUUAUUAAGAACAGUUUUUAUAUAUUUCUUUAACUGCGUCACCAAAGCCUCUCUCUGUCCCCUGGACAUUAAAUUAAAUAUAAAAUGGAUUGCACCAAAGCUAAAUAAAUAGAUCCUUAAUUUUCCCAAGCAACACACACAUGUGUAAAAUAAAAUAAAUGUUACGGUGUUGGGCGUUGGGAGUAGAGAAAAGAUGGUUCGUGUGUAGGUUUAGUUAUCAAAAUCCACAGCAUAUAGGCUGACAGCUUUUGAAAUACAUAAACUGUUUCUCUCUCUCCUGUUUCCAUAGCAACAGAGUGCACAAAGCCUUCAUUUUUGCACAUAGAAAAAAUUGGGAAUGGAGUCUGGAAUUGUCUGGAACAAAAGAAAUAUGUAGAAAAUAGAAAAUUAAGCAUCUAUCAUCCACAAGAGCCUCAUACUUGUUCAUGUCCCCUCGACACUGUUAUUCAAAAUAUGUAUUUGAAUGUAUGCUGGGGUAUCUUUGAAGAGUUGGGUCAGGAUCUAAAAGGUUAGAGCAUCCUACCUCCCCUCUGCAAGCCAGAAGAGUCAGUGCAAGUAACUCAUUGUGGUCUGUGUCUUGAGAAGUUUCAUUAUGACUUCCUUUAAGGCAUUCUCACCAGAGCUUUGUUGAUUGGCUUUUGCCUCUUUACCAUACUUCAGAUUAAGAUUAAAAUCUCUCCAUUUUCAGAGUUCCUGCUGUGGAACAGAGGGUUAAAGAUUCAGCAUUGUCUCAGUGGCUUGGGUCACUGCUGAGGUAUGGGUUCUUUUCCCAGCCUGGGAACUUGCACACACUGCAGAUGCAGCCAAAAAUAAAUAAAAUAAAAUUCUCUCAGUUUUUUUUUUUUUAAUUUACCCUUUCAGUUCAUUCACUUUAAAGGGCCAAUGGCAAUGCCUUAAAUUCAACAAAUAAUGGGAGAUGUGACAUAUCAUUUAAGGAAGAGUGUCGCAAAGCAAGGCAUGGAGACCAGCAAAGCAGCCAAAACCCAAGGGCUCCCUCAAUGGGAACUCCCCUGAUAGGUAAGGGUUAAAAGGGCUGCAUCAACCCUGAAUAAGUACAUCUCAUGGCCCUAUAAUCUACAUAUAUCUGCCUGACGGCUCCCUCUUAUUGGUUCAUAGCCAUUUUUCUGAGUUUGCCUUAGAUUUUUCACUUCCCAUAGGGUGCUAAUCUUGACUAAAUGUAUAUAUGAAAAAAGAUUAACAAUUAGCCAGUAUGGUAAAUAUUUUGGCAAACCCUCCUUUCAGGUUCAAGAAAAAAAGUUGAAUGGGAAAUAUCAGUUUUCUUUAAAAUAAACCAGUACAAUUUUUUUAACUUAAAAAUGAAGGAAAUAAAACUUAAAGAAUCUAAGAAGCCCAGUUGAGAUUAAGUGGAAAUGAACAUUGCCCAAUUCCUAAUAUCUC
rnacentral:lncRNA from 1 species